GCCGCAGUGGCGGAACUGGCAGACGCCCAGGACUUAAAAUCCUGUGGGAUUAACUUCCCGUACCGGUUCGAUUCCGGUCUGCGGCA
rnacentral:tRNA from 1 species